rnacentral:rRNA from 1 species
AAUAUUGGACAAUGGGCGAAAGCCUGAUCCAGCCAUGCCGCGUGUGUGAAGAAGGUCUUCGGACUGUAAAGCACUUUAUGUUGGGAGGAAGGGACGUAGGUUAAUACCCUGCAAUUUUGACGUUACCAACAGAAUAAGCUCCGGAUAACUUCGUGCCAGACGCCGCGGUAAUAUGAAGGGUGCAAGCGUUAAUCGGAAUUACUGGGCGUAAAGCGCGCGUAGGUGGUUCGUUAAGUUUGAAGUGAAAGCCCCGGGCUCAACCUGGGAACUGCUUUCAAAACUGGCAAGCUAGAGUAUGGCAGAGGGUAGUGGAAUUUCCUGUGUAGCGGUGAAAUGCGUAGAUAUAGGAAGGAACAUCAGUGGCGAAGGCGACUACCUGGACUGAUACUGACACUGAGGUGCGAAAGCGUGGGGAGCAAACAGG